rnacentral:RNase_P_RNA from 1 species
GGCAGAGAGAGCUCGGCUCCCGUCGGUCCCCGGACCGAUGAGGAAAGUCCCCCCACCGUCCGGACGGGCGACCCGGCGCAAGCCGGGAGUCGGAGACGGCUGGCUCUGGAACAGAAACGACACCCCUCGGCCCGACCGAUGAGACGCGAGCGGCCGACGCCGCUCGGCGCAAACGGGGCGACCCGCGAGCGCGCGACCCGACCCGCAAGGGGAGGAAGCUGACCCGUCGAGGGCCGCGCGGCCGCGGAACGCGAGCGGGCGACCCCGCCCGCGAGCCGACGGCCGAGAACGGAUGGAACGGCGAACCCUCGCCGGUGCAAGGCCGCGCCGCAAAGGUAGUCCGGACAGGGCGCGGCUGCUCAGCCGAAUGCCGAGCCGAACAGAAGGGGGCUUACUCCUCUCAGCC